rnacentral:rRNA from 1 species
GACGAACGCUGGCGGCGUGCUUAACACAUGCAAGUCGAACGGAAAGGCCCUGCUUUUGUGGGGUGCUCGAGUGGCGAACGGGUGAGUAACACGUGAGUAACCUGCCCUUGACUUUGGGAUAACUUCAGGAAACUGGGGCUAAUACCGGAUAGGAGCUCCUGCUGCAGGGGGGGGGUGGAAAGUUUCGGCGGUUGGGGAUGGACUCGCGGCUUAUCAGCUUGUUGGUGGGGUAGUGGCUUACCAAGGCUUUGACGGGUAGCCGGCCUGAGAGGGUGACCGGCCACAUUGGGACUGAGAUACGGCCCAGACUCCUACGGGAGGCAGCAGUGGGGAAUAUUGCACAAUGGGCGGAAGCCUGAUGCAGCAACGCCGCGUGCGGGAUGACGGCCUUCGGGUUGUAAACCGCUUUCGCCUGUGACGAAGCGUGAGUGACGGUAAUGGGUAAAGAAGCACCGGCUAACUACGUG